GAUGAACGCUGGCGGCGUGCCUAAUACAUGCAAGUCGAGCGAACGGACGAGAAUCUUGCUUCUCUGAUGUUAGCGGCGGACGGGUGAGUAACACGUGGAUAACCCACCUAUAAGACUGGGAUAACUUCGGGAAACCGGAGCUAAUACCGGAUAAUAUUUUGAACCGCAUGGUUCAAAAGUGAAAGACGGUCUUGCUGUCACUUAUAGAUGGAUCCGCGCUGCAUUAGCUAGUUGGUAAGGUAACGGCUUACCAAGGCAACGAUGCAUAGCCGACCUGAGAGGGGGAUCGGCCAAAGUGGAACGGAGACACGGUCCAGACUCCUACGGGAGGCAGCAGUAGGGAAUCUUCCGCAAAGGGAGAAAGCCUGACGGAGCAACGCCGCGUGAGUGAUGAAGGUCUUCGGAUCGUAAAACUCUGUUAUUAGGGAAGAACAAAUGUGUAAGUAACUAUGCACGUCUUGACGGUACCUAAUCAGAAAGCCACGGCUAACUACGUG
rnacentral:rRNA from 1 species